GCCUAUAGAAUGUUAAGUGUCUUCAAUAUUCUAAUGAAGGUUGAUUAAUUAAAAAUAGUUGUUAUCUUAUUUUCCACUUUAUUUUCCACAGAAGAUACUAAGGAUUUCCUUAAAGGAACUUAAAAUGUUUCGUUUGAGAAACACUGCACUAAACCAUUUUUUUACAUUUGAGGUUAGAUAAAGCAGCAAGGAAAAAAAAAUCGGUGGGCACACCUGAACAAGAGACCGAUCUUGAGCUACUUAGCCUUCCUCCUGGAUUGCUGUAGUGUUCUGCUGUGAGUCUCGCAAAGCUACUCUGAAGCUUCAUCUGACACAACGUGAUCAUCUGCCUGUUUAGAGCAUAAAAGGACGUUUGAACAGACUGUAUCCAGAGUGAAUACAGAGAAACACGACUCUCCCUUGAAUGUUCUGCUCACUCAGAGGAGUUCACCUGAACACCUUAAUAUUCUGAAGAGUCAUGAGAAAGAUACCAUCUUUUUCCUGCAGAGCUGUGAAAAAGGAUGCAAUAUCUGCCCUUCAGUGUUCAGUAUGCAUCACACUUCAAAAAAACCUCUAGUAUGAUCCUGACA
rnacentral:lncRNA from 1 species